AUCCAGGUGAAGAGUCUUGAAUAGAAUGAAACGCGCGUCCUAGAU
rnacentral:hammerhead_ribozyme from 1 species